CCUUGUACACACCGCCCGUCACACCACGAGAGUUUGUAACACCCGAAGUCGGUGGGGUAACCGCAAGGAGCCAGCUGCCUAAGGUGGGACAGAUGAUUGGGGUG
rnacentral:rRNA from 1 species